GUGAAAAAGGUUGUGCAUUACGACGCUGAUGCGAGGGCUCUGAGAUUGUGCAUUUCGAGUCACGAAAAUAUAAUAAUUUAGAUCCAUUUUUAGAUCUACACGUUACAACAAAAACAAAUCUGAAAGCCAUGCGAGGACGUUAGAUACGUUAUAGAUCCUAAAUUGACAAGAACAAGUGGCUUUUAAAAAUCUAAGCUUUGUAAUUAUGUCUGUUUUUUUGGUUACUUUGCUCUUUUUGAUUGUUGAAUUCUUCCCACUCAAAUUGGUAGCGGAGAAGAGACAAAGAAAGGAGAGACAGAAUGUUGACGAUACGCACCGU
rnacentral:misc_RNA from 1 species